AAGAAAAAUCCUCAAAGGUGUGGCGGUUUGUGGACUCAAGAUCCUCUCUCAGACAGUUUGCAGGGGUUUCUUGCUCUAAGAAGGACAAAUUUCUAGGGGAACCAGUUUCCUUUGACAACUAAAGUUGCACGAAAGGCUGCAGUCGCUCCCAUCCGCAAUAGAGCUUUUAAUAAUCGAAGUCGUGUCGUUAAUUGGAAUAAAUCAAGGGUUGGAGGAAUGCCUGGUCCAAGGAAAGUUCCAAAUGGAUGCUUUGCAAAGGUCCAAGGACAAAUUAGUUUAUCCUGUGGUGGUGUUUUGAGCUUUAGGCUAGCUCAUUAUGCUUUAUCAGAGUUUGAAUUAUUGGCGGAAGAACUGUUAAUGAGUGACUCUAUAAUCAAGCAUGCCGCAUAUCAUCUUCUGGAUGCUUCCAUUUUAUUCUUUGGAGUUUAUGAUGGACAUGAAGGUAAGAAUCGAGAGGUUCAGGUACUCUUAUAGUGGGGUGGAUGGUGGUGACUGCAUCAAUGAUUCUUUUUCUAGUUUACCCGAAGUUUCUUUUCAAAAUUGAUUUGAAAUGCGAUAAGUCUGCCCAUGUAGACAAAAUGAAUUUUAUCCUUUCAUCUGAUAGGUUGUCGCUUAUAG